GCAGUCUCCUCUCUGCCUAGAAAAUAGUUAUCCUGCUGUCAUAAAUAAACAGGACGGACCAGGAAUGAGUAAGGUGCCUGGGAGGAUUUCUGGGAGCCAGAGGCCAGGGCCUUUCUGCUGCACAGGAGAAGGAUGGCCACGUUUCAUUCCAAACCUGGCCUUCACAAAGGAGAGAUGAGGCUCUCCACUCCUUCAGGUUGGAUAUUAGGAAAAAAAUUCUUCUCAGAAAGACUGGUGGGGCAUUGGAACAGGCUGCCCAGGGAGGUGGUGCAGUCACCGUCCCUGGAGGUGUUCAAGAACCACGUGGAUGUGGCACUGAGGGACGUGGGCAGUGUGCAUGGUGUGAUGGGCUGCUGCUUGAACUGGGUGAUCUUAGAUGUCUUUUCCAACCUUAAUGAUUCUAUGACUCUAUGAUUCACCUCCACUGCUCACACAGAGCAGCAGAGACCCAGCCCAUGCUCACAGUGAUUUCCCCACUCCAGACCCCCUAACACAGCCUCAAUGGAGGCAGAGGCAGAGACACAGCAGCAGGGAGUCUGCAUGCCCUCACCCAACACUGCUCCUCCUGCCUGCGUUGCCUGUCUCAUAACUCACUAUCCUUUCCUUUUCCCCAGCUUGUCUCUCCAUGGCCCAAAUGGUCGGGAUGUGUGGGCAAGGGGCUCUCCUGUGUCUUUGAGGUGAAACCACAGCACAUCUGAAAUCCAGCACCAUGUGCUUGAAAGCCCAGACUUCCUUCCCUGUAGCCUCUCAGGGCCUGGAGACUGCUGCCCAGUUCCUGCAGCACAUUCUGAAGCUUACAGUGUUUGAAGUCAGUAAGUGUGAAAGGAAGAGGUGCAAUGUUAUUUCAAGACUUGGACAGGUGUCUGUUUAUCAGACAGGCUGCCGUGGCCCAGACCCACCCCUGCACGGUGUGCUCUUAUCAUACUUUGCAUCAUAUUUGUCCCCCUGGGAUUGCCCCACCAUUAAACUAAAGCCUUCAGCUCCACGCAACUGCAUAUUCACGCGAAUGACUUCCAGCUGUGAGCAGGAUCACCUGCUCAUACUGUGGUUGCACGACAUAUACCAGCUGCUGUGUGCAUAUCCCGGAGCGGGGAGAGGGCGUUCGUGUUUCAACAGUGUUCAGGGUUGACUGUGCCUCUGAAUUAAAUACUUCCUCCCUUCUAUUGAAACCAGACCUCUUGCACCUUCAGUUCUUCAACAAUCAAAAAUAAAAAGGGGGCUGGAAGCGUUUUUACUGACA
rnacentral:lncRNA from 1 species